GCUCCCAUCCAACUAACGGAUAGGUGGUCGGCCCCUCAAGCCGAAGGUCCGGGUUCAAGUCCCGGUGGGAGCG
rnacentral:tRNA from 1 species